GUAGUGCAUAGCCGAGUUGAGAGACUGAUCGGCCACAUUGGGACUGAGACACGGCCCAAACUCCUACGGGAGGCAGCAGUAGGGAAUCUUCCACAAUGGACGCAAGUCUGAUGGAGCAACGCCGCGUGAGUGAAGAAGGGUUUCGGCUCGUAAAGCUCUGUUGUUGGUGAAGAAGGACAGGGGGUAGUAACUGACCUUUGUUUGACGGUAAUCAAUUAGAAAGUCACGGCUAACUACGUGCCAGCAGCCGCGGUAAAU
rnacentral:rRNA from 1 species